ensembl:lncRNA
GGAAAGGAAGGUCCUCUGGAAAUAUCUUCCGGGAUUAGAACGAGGAGCGCUGGACUCCUAUCUCGAUGCGGCCCUGUAGGAAAGCGCUGCGGGGACCGCGAAAAAGCUGCUCGGAAGGACCCACGGGGCUGAAAACGGGGAUUGGAAAAGAAAAAAAAAAAAAGUAGAUGGUGUGUGUGACAAAAAAAGCUGGGUGAUUCUGUUUUCUCAUGCCCUCGCUCCUCCACCAGCUGCACAGCCAAGCGCAGGCUGCUUGGCCCUUAUAACUAUCUUGGCACGGAGUCAAAAGCUGAUAAGCAUUUGGGCGAGACAGCUCAACUGCUGUGCUGGAAGAAAAACAGCUGCCAUGAUUUCUGUUUGAUUGAGAGCGCUUACACACACGCACAAAAAACACAUCGGGCUGCAGAGACGGGCCACGAAUGCCUGAGGAUUCAGCUUCAGAAGAGCAAUGCACGUUUCCUUAAGGGAAAGAAAAAAAAAAAAGUUUUAUGCAGUUUUGCCUCCGUUCCUCCUCCCCUUUUUAAGGAAAAUGUACUGCGUAGACUCGCUCCUCUCCUUCCCAUCCCCCUCCAUAACCUCAAGCAAACUCGAGGAAUUGUGCCAAAAGUCCCGUUGCUAGUUACUGAGUGCGUUUUUUUCAAACGUCCCUUUGAUACUUCUUCCCCUUGUGCUUGCCAUGGAAUAUGCAAGUAAGAUAAUCUUUCCAUUACUUACCAAAAGUAAUUAAAAAUGAAAAGGGCUUCUAGCAAACCUUCCUUUUCCUACUUUUUUUUUUUUUUUUUCCCUCUGAAGGGGCAGGAGAAUGGAGGCGAGGGAGAGAAGAAUAUUUUUUCUCUUUGCGGAGUCCAACAUUUGGCUUUUUCCAUUUGUGGCAGAUCACUGUAACGCUAUUGUAAAACAACUUCCUGCCCCUUUUGGCUCCGGUUCCAGAAGCUGCUAGGCUAAGUUCAUAGCGCAAACUUUUUUUCCCCCCUUGCCGAAGAAGAAAGGCAAAAAAAAAUAAAUGUCCUGCAAAUGAUUCUCCUCCUUCUCCGGCUGAUGGACUCACAAGGUGAAUUCAUUGCAGCUCUGUAAGAAUGUCACACAAGAGGCAGCGCUAUCCCAGCUGGAUAAUUCAUGAGCCGAAAGCAGAGAACGCCAUUUUGAGGCUGUCACACAUUUCUGUGUCCAAAGUGGAUAACGCCUGCGGAAAGCAUAAGAAUGAUAUUCUCAUGCUGCAGAAAAAGUGUUUUAAUCCUGCAGGUAACAAAAAAGCAACACCAGUACUGAAGAACACAUGGUGAAGUGGAUGGACCUCGUAUUUUCAUUACUAUAUGUACUAGUUUUAGCUAAUGAACAUAAGUGAAUAAUAUACACAUGCUAACCUGACAUUAUCAUCUUUAUUGGAUAGUAGAUAUAGUAAGCAUAGCUUUCCCCUCUGUCUUCUAUUAAAAUGUAAAGCAAGUAGUCUUGGCGAAUUUCAAGUAACGAAUAAAGGAAACAGGAGUGUCUAUUUCAGUAUUGCUGUAUUCAGUGUCCCUUGCUACUGACAUACUAACUUUGUGCCCUUCUUGCUUGGCUCAGCUUUAAAUGCAAGCUUUCAUUAAAAUGGAAUGACAUUGGAGUUGCUUGGCCACUUUUUAAAAUGUUAUUUUAUUAAUAUUUUAAUAAUAAAUAAUUAUUUUGCUAUAUUACAGAAUACAUUUUUAAAUCUACAAGUAGACAACUGGAAAUGUUUGUUUAAACAGCAAAUAAAAUAAGAGAAAGAUGUUAACUUUUUAAUUGAAAUGUCUGGAAUGCCAAGUAAACAAAUUAAAAUGAAGAGAAAGAGAGACAGAAACAGAAAAGACUGCUGUCUCACAGAAAAGACAAUUACAGUACCCUGUAUUGAGUAAAACCAUAUUUCAGCGUGUAAUCUGAAGCAGCCUAAAAGGAGCUGUAAGAAACAUGCAUGUGGACACUGCAGCAAACGGUAUUAGCAGUGCUGUUCCCUAAGCCAUAAGGAAAACCCACUCUGAAAUCUGUUACACCAAAAUGGUAGUCCUUCAGGGAUUUAUUGUGGCAUAAAAAGUGGGAAAAAUAAAAAUCAGUAUGCCCUGAAAUGCCCAAGAGCUGACACCUACUGUAAUGCACAUUUUUACCUUGAUGCUGUGUUUACAUCCAUUUAUGAUCACAGUCUUAUGGAGCCCCAAAGCUUAGUACCAUAGUAUUACUUAUUUCUGUGAUGGCACUGUUGUGAGUUUCCCUGUUCACAUACAGGCCACCUGUGCUCACUGCUUACCCUGCUGGGUUUUACACUGCUUGCCUGUCAUCAGCAAUUAUGAGCUUUUUUUCUUUUUUUUUUUUUCAUUGGAUAGAAGGAAGGGUGGUGGAAAAGAAGUAUUUUGACUGAAGAUAUGUUUGCAGUUCAAGUAAUUGCUUUAUGAUCUAUCAUUUCAUAGAUUUUAGUGCUGAGCAAAGAAAAGCAUGUAGAAAUGAAAAAUAAUAAACAUCUUUCAGUGAAAUGUGAUGGUUUUCUAUUGUGAAUUUUCCAAAUAAUUUAUCUCAGAUAUAACGUUUAUGAAUGUUCAGUGGUCACAACAAAUAAAAACGAGAUGCAUCACAUUGUGCCACCAGUUAUUUCUAAAGCCAAACAAAAACCCCACCCAACAAACCAGUUUGUUUCUUUUUAACAUAGAAUUAAUUAUAAAUGAGAAAUUCCCAGCUCAGUCUGGCUUUGUACCCCUCAAUUAUCAUAUCUGGCUUCACAUUUUCUGUAUGUGUAUAUUUAUGUCAUGCAGUGCUGGUAGAAUGCGGUGAAAAAGGUGACGAACACAAUCUGAUGGGACACAGCAUCACGUUUCCUUACAAGCUGAAUUUCAGCGCUUGUCAACUGUAAUACUCUGAGACGCAGCUAUGACCUUGGAGGCCCAAGUUCAAUGCUGCGAUUGCCACAGCGUUUUUCUUUUAGAAGAGAAAAAUCCCGCCAUUUUCUCUCACAUAUUGCUUCUUCCCUUGGAAAAGUCUAGUAAGAGCUGGGGGGGAAUUAAAAAAAAAAAAAAAAAAA